GUGGGCGUAGUUUAAUGGCUAAAACCGCGGAUUGUGACUCCGCUGAUGCCGGUUCGAUCCCGGCCGUUCGCACCA
rnacentral:tRNA from 1 species